rnacentral:rRNA from 1 species
UACGGGGGGAGCAAGCGUUGUUCGGAUUUACUGGGCGUAAAGGGCGCGUAGGCGGCCACCGCAAGUCGAUUGUGAAAUCUCCGGGCUUAACCCGGAAAGGUCAACCGAUACUGCGGGGCUAGAGUGCAGAAGGGGCAACUGGAAUUCUCGGUGUAGCGGUGAAAUGCGUAGAUAUCGAGAGGAACACCUGCGGCGAAGGCGGGUUGCUGGGCUGACACUGACGCUGAUGCGCGAAAGCUAGGGGAGCGAACGGG